GCAACGCUUUUUCCUUUCAAACUAGCUGAAUCAGCAGGAUUAGAAUCCCCAAUAUUAAUUUGGUUCCCAUCCCUAAAAUCAUGCAGGAUGUUAAAGCGCGUUCCCGUAUGAUCUGUUACUAUCCUUUCUUCCCGGCCAAUGCUGGUUUUCGACCCAUUAGGUUGUUCCAGCAAUUGACCAUCAUCCAAGGCCCAAACAUAUCCGAUUCUUCCCUAUUCUCAACCAGAAUCGGGACAUCAUGACUUCCUUGCUUCGUCGCUUGAUCAUGUCUGGAUGAAAACGAGCAAGAAAACGCCCACACGAAAAACAAAUGUUGGGAAGAGGCUCAUAUACUCAACUUGUUGAAUACGGCCAUCCACCUUGAUUUUAGAGGCCAUUGGCUUAUUAAGAUCAAGAAAAAUCACCGUACGAACAAAUCAGCCCGUAUGUGCAUUAACUGUGUUAUCGUCAAGUUUAAU
rnacentral:lncRNA from 1 species